CUUAAAUUGGUCCUUCAAAUUAUUUUUUCUUUGUUUGCAAGAAUGGAUCCAAGAUUGGUUUUGGUUACUCGAUCGGGUAGUGUUGAUUCUUUAUAUUCUCUUCUUCAAAAGGAUCCAUGCAUUCUUCAAAACGUCGCUGUUUUACCUUUCAUCCACACACCUCUCCAUGAAGCUUCGUCUAUUGGGGAUAGAUUUGGCGAUGGAACUGAUGAUUCUAAUGCCAUCUUUUGCUAAGAAACUAAACGCGGAUGGGUUUACUCCAUUGCAUCUCGCUGUAGAAAAUCACCAAGUUGAGUUAGCACUAGAGUUAGUCAAGUUUGAUCCCAGUCUUGUUCGUAUUUGUGGUAGAGGAGGUAUUUGCUUCAAAUUCUUAGUUCUUGUUUGUUCUCUGAAUUUUUGUUUUUUAUUAGGUUUAGAACAAAUUUUUUUUGAAACAUAUAACAUAAAAUUAGUUACUUCUUAUUGAGAUAUUUAAAUAUUUUUUGUUUUUUUUUUUAACUCGUAAGGACAGGUAUGACACCAUUGCAUCUUGUGGCAAAAAAAGGUGAUGUCGAUCUUCUUACAGAGUUUCUCCUGGUAUGUCCUGAGAGCAUUGGAGAUGCGAAUGUAAAUGGAGAAACUGCUUUACACAUCGUUGUUAUGAACGAUAGAUAUGAAGAGCUCAAAGUUCUGAGAGGGUGGAUGCAAAGAAUGCGCAAAAGUGAUGCUUCAUCCACCGAGAUUCACGUCCUGAACAAACGUGACCGUGAAGGCAACACGGCCUUGCACUUAGCGGCAUACAAGAAUGAUCACCAGGCAUGUUCUUACCCUUUCUAUAGACUUUUAUCCUAUAGGGUAUUUAAGCGGUUGAUCCGAAACCAUUGUUACUAUCAUACUAGUAUAUUUGCUAUGUAAUCCGAGGUAGUCAGAUACUAUUAGACCUUAAAAUUCACACACUCGUCUUCUUUGAAUUAUGUUGUUCUGCAUAUCUGUAUAUUAUACAGGCAGUAAAACAGCUGUUGAAAUGCAUGUCACUGAACCGCAACAUCCAGAACAAAGGUGGUAUGACAGCUCUUGAUCUCUUACGAGCCAAUGGACGUCACAUGAACAUAGAUACGGAGAAAAUCAUACAGAAAGCGGGUGGUAGGAGCGCGGUUUCUCUAUCCAAAGUUAAGAAAACGUCUGUCUUCCUAAGAAAACCGGUCACUUUCAAGGAAUAUUGCUCCACGGGAAUGGCACGCUACAGGAGUCGCAUGUCAGAUGGAACAAGGAACGCUCUUCUAGUAAUAACAGCUUUGAUAAUCACAGCUACUUAUCAGACCGCAGCCCAACCACAAGAAGAUCAAGACAUAGAAGACAAACUAUCUUUCAUAGAAAUCAUAUUAAAGAUAGUGCUACUAUGGGGACUCAAUACUAUAGCCUUUCUCUUGGCUAUUGCCUUGACGUUUAUACUCUUACCAGUUGGUAGAGCAUACACUUGGUGGUAUAUCUUCAUCUCGGCGCCUCUCGUUUGCUCUUACGCAAUUUCGGUGUAUCUGAAGUAUAUGCUCCCACUACCAUUCUUAUUAGCAUUCUUAAUCAUGUAUCUGAUGGUUGUAUUCGGAUUUCUCAUAUAUGUACUUGUAUUGUACGUGAAGUGGAAGCGGACUAUGCAGAACAAAGUACCAAGACACAAAAGCGAGCUGGUUUCCGAAGACUCAAAGACCAUGGUUUAGCCAUUUGAAGCGUUUGUAGAUUCUUUGUUCAUUGUAAAACUUUGAGGAUUGAUAUUGAAAAAUUCCAUAGCUUUGUACGUGGACUCCUUUUGUAAUAUACUGUUUAAGAUUCUAUCUUAUGAAUAACUUACAUGAUUAAAGUUCAACCUAAGCUUACUAGAGGAAGCGAAAAAGGUGUUUUAUGUGGCAGAAACUUAUACACUUUACCUUAAAGAGGAUUCACCAUCAAGCACAAAGGUCCAUUAAUUAGUCUAUAAAUCAAAAGUGCAAUGAAGAGGAAAUUAAUGGUUUAUGUAUGACCGGUGAACUGGCCGGUUCGAUAAAAGUGCUGGUUUUGGGGGUUUGACUUUUUUUUCUUCCUGACCCGUGAAUUGGCUAGUUCAACUGGUCUGAUUGCUAUGUCUGAUCCUUUAAGAACACAAGCUUAAACUCGGUGAAAUUUCAUAACCAAUAAAGUUGUAUUCCAGUUUUAUCAUUAGCUUCAUUUUAUGUUUGCAAUGGUCUUGAUUAAAAAAAACAUAACUACAUAAGAAUCGGAGUUCUCACUUUUAAACUGAAAAUGUUUUUUAAGAGCCUUAAGUCAAUUAUUUUAUAUCCUUGCGUUGAUUCACUGAUUAAACGUUAGGUGAGAAGCCGCCUUUUUCUUUUACUUUUAGAAACCGGCCUUUGUUUUUUUUUAGAAGCAGCCCACCAUUUGUUUUUUUCUUCUAAAACUGACCAAUAUAAUUGGUGAUUAUUAAGUCAAUGUAAAAAAAAACUAUAUAAAGAUAUAAAGAAAAUGGUUGGACUCGUUUCUGCUUAACCAAUAAAGUUGUAUUCCAGUUUUAUUAGUAGCUUUAUUUUAUGUUUGCAAUGGUCUUCAUUAAAAAAUAAAUAACUACAUAAGAUUCCGAGUUCUCACUUUUAAGCUGAAAAUGUUUUUUAAGAGUGUUAUUGUGUUAAGUCAAUUAUUUAUAUCCUAGCGUUGAUUCACUGAUUUUACUUUAGGUGAGAAGCCGCCUUUGUCUUUUACUUUCAGAAACCGGCCUUUGUUCUUCUUUUAGAAGCAGCCCAUAGUUUGUUUCUUAUUCUAAAACUGACAAAAUUAAUUGGUGGUUAAUUAAGUCAAUAGACUCAAUACUAAGACUGUAAAAAAAUAUAUAUAAAGAAAAUGCGUGGAGUCGUUUCUUCUUACAUUGGACCUUACAAAUAAUAUAUUUCUUUCUUUGUAAGUGUAUGGAUCCAAGAUUGGUUUUGGUUACUCAAUCGGGUAGCGUUGAUGCUUUAUAUUCUCUUAUUCAGAAAGAUCCAUGCAUUCUUCAAAUCGUUGACGUGUUACCUUUCAUCCACACACCUCUCCAUGAAGCUUCGUCUACUGGGAAGACAGAUUUGGCCAUGGAACUGAUGAUUCUAAAGCCAUCUUUUGCCAAGAAACUAAACGAGGAUGGGUUUAGUCCGUUACAUCUCGCUGUCGAAAACCACCAAGCUGAGUUAGCACUAGAGCUAGUCAAGUUUGAUCCCACUCUUGUUCGUAUUCUUGGAAGAGGAGGUAUUUAUAGUUAAAAAUCGUAACUCCUUUUUUUUCUGUGUGAUUCUUUUCCUAAUGUUUUUAUUAGGUUUAAAAAUCCCAUAUUUGAAACAUAUAAAAUAUAAAAGGUAACUUGAUGAGUGAGUUUUGUUCUUUCUCAUAACGACGACAGGUAUGACACCUUUGCAUCUUGUGGCAAAGAAAGGUGACGUCAAUCUUCUUACAGAGUUUCUUCUGGCAUGUCCUGAAAGCAUUAGAGAUGCGAAUGUAAAUGGAGAAACUGCUUUACACAUCGUUGUUAUGAACAAAAAAUACGAAGAGCUCAAAGUUCUCACAGGGUGGAUGCAGAGAAUGCGUGAAAGUGAUGCUUUAUCCACCGAGACUCACGUCUUGAACAAAUGCGACCGAGAAGGCAACACGGCCUUGCACC
rnacentral:lncRNA from 1 species